CUAAACACCCCCCUUCUUGGUAACACCUGUGCCCGCAGCUCCUUCCUCUAACCUGCUUUUCUGCUUCUGUAAAAUUCCGCUUCAGCUAGGCUCCCCCUCCCCUACCUAAAUCAAGGUAUAAAAAAUAAUCAAGCCCUUCCUCGGGGCCGAGAGAAUUUUAAGCAUUAGCCGUCUCUUGGUCGCUGGCAAAUCAAUAAAGAACUCUUAAUUUGAAACUCAGAGCAUGGCGUGUUCCUUCUAACUCGCUAAUUUGCGACAUUUGGAAGCCCCAGUGAGAAAUUUGCCACCAGGUGCAAACUGGGCUCGUUCAGAGCUCCCACGGGGGAGGAGGCGGACUGCAGGGGAGGCGCCUGUUCCAGGGUCCCAUUAACCACCCCUUACCGGAGGAGAGCGGAUCCCCGGUGCACUCCACUAAAUUAUUCUUCGGAGUCCCUGGUCCUGCUCCGCGGAGAAGAUACUAUCAAGCUUCAGAUGAUUAUUCCACAAGUGUUCCAGCCAAUCCACACCAGGCCAUCAAGGAGCUACCUUGCCUCCACUAGACAAAGCAGGGUGACCAGAAAUUGAAUGGAAAUACAGUUCAUAAAAAAUGAACUAUAAAACUGCCUUUUCUGAAUGGCUCUCACAUUAUUAAACUUCACACUUAAUGAUACAGGUGUGACUCUGGAACACUGCAUUGGUGUAGUAUCCAGGUAAGAAAAUUUAUUUCCUUCUCUGGUUAUAGUUAUUUUAUGAUAGAUUGUGUACAUUUUCCUC
rnacentral:lncRNA from 1 species